rnacentral:rRNA from 1 species
CCUACGGGUGGCAGCAGUGAGGAAUAUUGGUCAAUGGGCGAGAGCCUGAACCAGCCAAGUCGCGUGAGGGAGUACUGCCCUAUGGGUUGUAAACCUCUUUUGUCGGGGAGCAAAAGCCGGACGUGGCCGGCUGUGAGAGUACCCGAAGAAAAAGCAUCUGCGAACUCCGUGCAAGCAGCCGCGGGAAGACGGAGGAUGCUAGCGUUCUCCGGAUUUAUUGGGUUUAAAGUGUGCGCAGGCGGAUUGUUAAGUCAGCGGUCACAUCGUGGGGCUCAACCCCAUCCAGCCGUUGAAACUGGGGAUCUAGAGUGUGCGAGAGGUAUGCGGAAUGCGUGGUGUAGCGGUGAAAUGCAUAGAUAUCACGCAGAACCCCGAUUGCGAAGGCAGCAUACCGGUGAACAACUGACGCUCUGGCACGAAAGCGUGGGUAUCGAACAGGAUUAGAUACCCCAGUAGUC